rnacentral:rRNA from 1 species
UACAGAGGGUGCAAGCGUUGAUCGGAAUUACUGGGCGUAAAGGGCGCGUAGGCGGUCAAGCAAGUGAGAUGUGAAAUCCCCGGGCUUAACCUGGGAACUGCAUUUUAGACUGUGUGACUGGAGUACUGUAGAGGGCAGUGGAAUUUCCGGUGUAGCGGUGAAAUGCGUAGAGAUCGGAAGGAACACCAGUGGCGAAGGCGACUGUCUGGACAGAUACUGACGCUGAGGAGCGAAAGCGUGGGGAGCAAACAGG